rnacentral:rRNA from 1 species
AAUCAACGCUGGCGGCGUGCCUAACACAUGCAAGUCGAACGCGAAAGGGGCUUCGGCUCUGAGUAGGGUGGCGAACGGGUGAGUAACGCGUGGGUGAUCUACCUUCGAGUGGGGGAUAACGUUCCGAAAGGGACGCUAAUACCGCAUGACGUUCUGGGUUUAAAGACCUGGAAACCAAAGCCGGGGACCGCAAGGCCUGGCGCUCAAAGAGGAGCCCGCGUCCGAUUAGCUAGUUGGCGGGGUAACGGCCCACCAAGGCGACGAUCCGUAGCUGGUCUGAGAGGAUGAUCAGCCACACUGGGACUGAGACACGGCCCAGACUCCUACGGGAGGCAGCAGUGGGGAAUAUUGGACAAUGGGCGCAAGCCUGAUCCAGCCAUGCCGCGUGAGUGACGAAGGUCUUCGGAUUGUAAAACUCUUUUGGCGGGGACGAUAAUGACGGUACCCGCAGAAUAAG